rnacentral:rRNA from 1 species
GGGGGAGCGGGGAGCGAAACUUGCUUUGCUCCGCCGGCGACCGGUGCACGGGUGAGUAACGCGUAUGCGACCUGCCCGUUGCAGGGGGAUAAUCGGGAGAAAUCCCGUCUAAUACCGCGUAAUGCCGCGGGGCUGCAUGGCCCUGCGGCCAAAAGGAAGCGAUUCCGGCAACGGAUGGGCAUGCGUGACAUUAGCUAGUUGGCGGGGCAACGGCCCACCAAGGCGACGAUGUCUAGGGGUUCUGAGAGGAAGGUCCCCCACACUGGUACUGAGACACGGACCAGACUCCUACGGGAGGCAGCAGUGAGGAAUAUUGGUCAAUGGCCGAGAGGCUGAACCAGCCAAGUCGCGUGAGGGAUGACGGCCCUACGGGUUGUAAACCUCUUUUGCCGGGGAGCAAAGAGCGGGACGCAUCCCGCCUCGAGAGUACCCGGAGAAAAAGCAUCGGCUAACUCCGUGCCAGCAGCCGCGGUAAUACGGAGGAUGCGAGCGUUAUCCGGAUUUAUUGGGUUUAAAGGGUGCGCAGGCGGAAGCGCAAGUCAGCGGUAAAAUUGAGAGGCUCAACCUCUUCCCGCCGUUGAAACUGCGUUUCUUGAGUGGGCGAGAAGUACGCGGAAUGCGUGGUGUAGCGGUGAAAUGCAUAGAUAUCACGCAGAACUCCGAUUGCGAAGGCAGCGUACCGGCGCCCAACUGACGCUCAUGCACGAAAGCGUGGGUAUCGAACAGGAUUAGAUACCCUGGUAGUCCACGCAGUAAACGAUGAAUACUCGCUGUCCGGGGAGAUUGGUCUCCGGGCGGCCAAGCGAAAGCGUUAAGUAUUCCACCUGGGGAGUACGCCGGCAACGGUGAAACUCAAAGGAAUUGACGGGGGUCCGCACAAGCGGAGGAACAUGUGGUUUAAUUCGAUGAUACGCGAGGAACCUUACCCGGGCUCAAACGACGGAUGAAUACUUUUGAAAGGAGGUAGUCCUUCGGGACAUCCGUCGAGGUGCUGCAUGGUUGUCGUCAGCUCGUGCCGUGAGGUGUCGGCUUAAGUGCCAUAACGAGCGCAACCCCCAUCGCCAGUUGCCAACAGGUAAAGCUGGGAACUCUGGCGAGACUGCCGGCGCAAGCUGUGAGGAAGGCGGGGAUGACGUCAAAUCAGCACGGCCCUUACGUCCGGGGCGACACACGUGUUACAAUGGCAGGUACAGAGAGAUGCGACACGGCGACGUGGAGCGGGACUGUCAAAACCUGUCUCAGUUCGGAUCGGAGUCUGCAACCCGACUCCGUGAAGCUGGAUUCGCUAGUAAUCGCGCAUCAGCCAUGGCGCGGUGAAUACGUUCCCGGGCCUUGCACACACCGCCCGUCAAG